GCUACGACCACACCGGCCUGAGUACGCCUAUCUCGUCUGAUCUCGGAAGCUAAGCAGGGUCGGGCCUGGUUAGUACUUGGAUGGGAGACCGCCUGGGAAUAUCCAGGUGCUGUAAGCU
rnacentral:rRNA from 1 species